UACAGAGGGUGCGAGCGUUAAUCGGAAUUACUGGGCGUAAAGCGUGCGUAGACGGUUAUUUAAGUCGGGUGUGAAAGCCCCGGGCUCAACCUGGGAACUGCAUUUGUGACUGCAUCGCUGGAGUACGGCAGAGGGGGAUGGAAUUCCGCGUGUAGCAGUGAAAUGCGUAGAUAUGCGGAGGAACACCGAUGGCGAAGGCAAUCCCCUGGGCCUGUACUGACGCUCAUGCACGAAAGCGUGGGGAGCAAACAGG
rnacentral:rRNA from 1 species